UGUUUUCAUAUGCAGAUCUGAAAUAUUGUCUUAUAUGCAAGAGGAGGAGUGAUGGGGGUUCAGGCAAAUGCCAGGCUAUGGAUUGCAUUGCUAAAUGCUCCAUCAGAGUACAAUGGUCUCCUGUCCUUUUUUUAAGUGAUGAUGUGGGUUUAGCCUGUGCUGUAUGUAUGUAUGGGUGGCUGACUGCCACCCACCCAGAGAGUGUAUGGGAGGCUGGUUGGCUGCCAGCCUUCCUUCCAUUCCUAUGAGUAAUGUGAGUGCUCAUGAAGGAUACAUGGUUGGGUCCACCCCUUUCCCGGUUAUCCCCUCUAGGCCUUUUGGCUUAGAUCAAGUGUAAAAAAAAGAAAGGAUCUUGCGACAGAUCGCAUCCUCAGGCACGUUUUUUUUUUGUAUGAAUACUUGCACUUGGGUGAUUUUUGAGCACAUACUGAUACGUUCCCUAUCUGGGGACCAUAAAUUAAAUGGAUUUUUGAGAAAGGGAGCUGAUUUGGAAGCUUGCUUCCGUCGCCCUAUGCAUUGACCCGAUGUGGCAGCAUCUUCGGGUAGUGAACAGUGCACCACCCCAUUCCAGUGUUAAACAAGAAAGAUUCUCAUUUAAUCCUCCGUGGGUGAGAAUUUGAGUUUGAGAAUUGGAGACCAAAAUGAUGAGAUGCACUGACUGGUUUAUGAACGUCUAUUCAUUUAGCGUUUUAAUGACCAUGUUUGCACACUGAUUGGUGUAAAAAAAUAAAACUAAAUAAUAAUAAUCUAGCACACCUGUGCAGGUUUGACAUGACAUGAUAGGUAGCUGUCUUGUGGGUAGUGCUGAAUCCUGUUAAAUGACGUGAGGGUCUCAUGCCUAUACACAAAGGUGUGUCAUUGCUGUUGCUUGACCAUGCAUUGGUUUCUGUGGUCAGUGAAUGAUAAAAACAAAAUUUACCAUCCAUUGAUGGAUGGGAAAUCCGCCAUGAGGCAUUUGUUUUUAGAAACUGCUGCUCACAACCAAUGUUGCAAUGGAGUGUCUCCAUCUGCUGGUGGUAUUGGAAAGGCAUUAGUGCUAUGACAGGUUCUGAAGCAGAAGAAGAAGACGGAAAAAAAUAUAUAUAAAAAGAAAGAGAGAGAGAGACUGACUUAGUGAGCAAGUGAGUGAGAGAGUGAGAGUGAGUGAGAGAGAAUAAGUGAGUGAGUGAUUGAGUGAGUGAGUGAGUGAGAACAAAUGAGUUAAAGCAAGUGAGUGAGUGAGAUCGAAUGAAUGAAAGUCUGAAUGACAGAAAGAAAAAAGGAUGAAGAAAGAAGCAUGAAGAAAAAAAAUGUAUAUGGAGUUGCAGACAUGAGUGCAAUCUACAAAGCCGUUGAGGCUGAUCCUCAUGGGAGGAUUAUUGCACCUGGACCCUUAACACUUUUAAAAUGCCAUUCAAUGCCACUUCUAGGGCUAGAUGUAAACUGCAGAUGACCAUGUUGUGGUAGUUACCAUGGAUACCCAAGUGAUGUGUGAGCUAACACAUAGGCCCAACAGAUUCCAAGAAGGCCAGAAUCACCAGCGGCACCACCAUCGGUUGUCAGGUUACCCGGAUUCAGCAAAUACCAGAGUCCAAAAUGAUGCAGGUUUAUACUGUUAAUUUACAGUUUAUCGUUACAGUUGGUGUUAUUCCAUGUCGGAAGGGACGCAGCUACAGCCAGUGGGGUAACUAGAGACAGGCAGGCAGCUAUGUGCAACAAAGGUAGGCGUGUUGUUUUCAUAUGCAGAUCUGAAAUAUUGUCUUAUAUGCAAGAGGAGGAGUGAUGGGGGUUCAGGCAAAAGCCAGGCUAUGGAUUGCAUUGCUAAAUGCUCCAUCAGAGUGCAAUGGUCUCCUGUCCUUUUUUUAAGUGAUGAUGUGGGUUUAGCCUGUGCUGUAUGUAUGUAUGUAUGGGUGGCUGACUGCCACCCACCCAGAGAGUGUAUGGGAGGCUGGUUGGCUGCCAGCCUUCCUUCCAUUCCUAUGAGUAAUGUGAGUGCUCUUGAAGGGGACAUGGUCGGGUCCACCCCUUUCCCGGUUAUCCCCUCUAGGCCUUUUGGCUUAGAUCAAGUGUAAAAAAAAGAAAGGAUCUUGCGACAGAUCGCAUCCUCAGGCACGUUUUUUUUGUGUGAAUACUUGCACUUGGGUGACUUGUGAGCACAUACUGAUACGUUCCCUAUUUGGGGACCAUAAAUUAAAUGGAUUUUUGAGAAAGGGAGCUGAUUUGGAAGCUUGCUUCCGUCGCCCUAUGCAUUGACCCGAUGUGGCAGUAUCUUCGGGAAGUGAACAGUGCACCACCCCAUUCCAGUGUUAAACAAGAAAGAUUCUCAUUUAAUCCUCCGUGGGUGAGAAUUUGAGUUUGAGAAUUGGAGACCAAAAUGAUGAGUUCCACUGACUGGUUUAUGAACGUUUAUUCAUUUAGCGUUUUAAUGACCAUGUUUGCACACUGAUUGGUGUAAAAAAAUAAAAUAAAACUAAAUAAUAAUAAUCUAGCACACCUGUGCAGGUUUGACAUGACAUGACAGGUAGCUGUCUUGUGGGUAGUGCUGAAUCCUGUUAAAUGACGUGAGGGUCUCAUGCCUAUACACAAGGGUGUGUCAUUGCUGUUGCUUGACCAUGCAUUGGUUUCUGUGGUCAGUGAAUGAUAAAAACAAAAUUUACCAUCCAUUGAUGGAUGGGAAAUCCGCCAUGAGGCAUUUGUUUUUAGAAACUGCUGCUCACAACCAAUGUUGCAAUGGAGUGUCUCCAUCUGCUGGUGGCAUUGGAAAGGCAUUAGUGCUAUGACAGGGUCUGAAGAAGAAGAAGAAGACAGAAAAAAAUAUAUAUAAAAAGAAAAAGAGAGAGAGAGAGAGAGAGAGAGAGAGAGACUGACUUAGUGAGCGAGUGAUUGUGAGAGUGAGAGUGAGUGAGAGUGAAUAAGUGAGUGAGUGAUUGAGUGAGUGAGUGAGUGAGUGAGAACAAAUGAGUUAAAGCAAGUGAGUGAGUAAGAUCGAAUGAAUGAAAGUCUGAAUGACAGAAAGAAAAAAGGAUGAAGAAAGAAGCAUGAAGAAAAAAAAAUGUAUAUGGAGUUGCAGAUAUGAGUGCAAUCUACAAAGCCGUUGAGGCUGAUCCUCAUGGGAGGAUUAUUGCACCAGGACCCUUAGCACUUUUAAAAUGCCAUUCAAUGCCACUUCUAGGGCUAGAUGUAAACUGCAUAUGACCAUGUUGUGGUAGUUACCAUGGAUACCCAAGUGAUGUGUGAGCUAACACAUAGGCCCAACAGAUUCCAAGAAGGCCAGAAUUACCAACGGCACCACCAUCGGUUGUCAGGUUACCCGGAUUCAGCAAAUACCAGAGUCCAAAAUGAUGCAGGUUUAUACUGUUAAUUUACAGUUUAUCGUUACAGUUGGUGUUAUUCCAUGUCGGAAGGGACGCAGCUACAGCCAGUGGGGUAACUAGAGACAGGCAGGCAGCUAUGUGCAACAAAGGUAGGCGUGUUGUUUUCAUAUGCAGAUCUGAAAUAUUGUCUUAUAUGCAAGAGGAGGAGUGAUGGGGGUUCAGGCAAAAGCCAGGCUAUGGAUUGCAUUGCUAAAUGCUCCAUCAGAGUGCAAUGGUCUCCUGUCCUUUUUUUAAGUGAUGAUGUGGGUUUAGCCUGUGCUGUAUGUAUGUAUGUAUGGGUGGCUGACUGCCACCCACCCAGAGAGUGUAUGGGAGGCUGGUUGGCUGCCAGCCUUCCUUCGAUUCCUAUGAGUAAUGUGAGUGCUCUUGAAGGGGACAUGGUCGGGUCCACCCCUUUCCCGGUUAUCCCCUCUAGGCCUUUUGGCUUAGAUCAAGUGUAAAAAAAAGAAAGGAUCUUGCGACAGAUCGCAUCCUCAGGCACGUUUUUUUUGUGUGAAUACUUGCACUUGGGUGACUUGUGAGCACAUACUGAUACGUUCCCUAUUUGGGGACCAUAAAUUAAAUGGAUUUUUGAGAAAGGGAGCUGAUUUGGAAGCUUGCUUCCGUCGCCCUAUGCAUUGACCCGAUGUGGCAGUAUCUUCGGGUAGUGAACAGUGCACCACCCCAUUCCAGUGUUAAACAAGAAAGAUUCUCAUUUAAUCCUCCGUGGGUGAGAAUUUGAGUUUGAGAAUUGGAGACCAAAAUGAUGAGUUCCACUGACUGGUUUAUGAACGUUUAUUCAUUUAGCGUUUUAAUGACCAUGUUUGCACACUGAUUGGUGUAAAAAAAUAAAAUAAAACUAAAUAAUAAUAAUCUAGCACAACUGUGCAGGUUUGACAUGACAUGACAGGUAGCUGUCUUGUGGGUAGUGCUGAAUCCUGUUAAAUGACGUGAGGGUCUCAUGCCUAUACACAAGGGUGUGUCAUUGCUGUUGCUUGACCAUGCAUUGGUUUCUGUGGUUAGUGAAUGAUAAAAACAAAAUUUACCAUCCAUUGAUGGAUGGGAAAUCCGCCAUGAGGCAUUUGAUUUUAGAAACUGCUGCUCACAACCAAUGUUGCAAUGGAGUGUCUCCAUCUGCUGGUGGUAUUGGAAAGGCAUUAGUGCUAUGACAGGGUCUGAAGAAGAAGAAGAAGACGGAAAAAAAUAUAUAUAAAAAGAAAAAGAGAGAGAGAGAGAGAGAGAGACUGCCUUAGUGAGCGAGUGAUUGAGAGAGUGAGAGUGAGUGAGAGUGAAUAAGUGAGUGAGUGAUUGAGUGAGUAAGUGAGUGAGUGAGUGAGAACAAAUGAAUUAAAGCAAGUGAGUGAGUAAGAUCGAAUGAAUGAAAGUCUGAAUGACAGAAAGAAAAAAGGAUGAAGAAAGAAGCAUGAAGAAAAAAAAAUGUAUAUGGAGUUGCAGAUAUGAGUGCAAUCUACAAAGCCGUUGAGGCUGAUCCUCAUGGGAGGAUUAUUGCACCAGGACCCUUAGCACUUUUAAAAUGCCAUUCAAUGCCACUUCUAGGGCUAGAUGUAAACUGCAUAUGACCAUGUUGUGGUAGUUACCAUGGAUACCCAAGUGAUGUGUGAGCUAACACAUAGGCCCAACAGAUUCCAAGAAGGCCAGAAUCACCAGCGGCACCACCAUCGGUUGUCAGGUUACCCAGAUUCAGCAAAUACCAGAGUCCAAAAUGAUGCAGGUUUAUACUGUUAAUUUUCAGUUUAUCGUUACAGUUGGUGUUAUUCCAUGUCGGAAGGGACGCAGCUACAGCCAGUGGGGUAACUAGAGACAGGCAGGCAGCUAUGUGCAACAAAGGAUUUUUCACAAGGAAAGGAUGCGAGUUACCACAAAAAUUUUCCACCAUGUUAAAGUAGAAUAUGUCACGAAAAAACUAUCUCGGAAUCAGAAUGAUAACUAAAAGCAUUCCAGAGUUCUUAAUGUUUAAAGUGACAGUGGUCAGAUGUGCAAAAAACGCUCUGGUCCUUAAGGCCAAAAUGGGCUUGGUCCUGAAGGGGUUAAUAAACAGAUGGAAAAACAGUUUGAGAUUUGGGAGAAGGAAAUGGCGGAAAUAAAGAGUAAGAAGCUAGCAAGGGAUAUGAAUGAUGUCCAGAUGAAACGUGUAUAUAAAUGGCAACGUCCGUCGGGAGACAGGGGACGACAGAGAUCUGCCUCCAUCUCCUCAUUAUCCUCGGCGGGUGAAAACUCGGAGAACCCACGCAGAUUAUAUGGAUCUAACCAACGACAUAAAAGAAAGAAGACUGAGUUUGUCUCUCAAUCUAAGAAGCGGUCUGAGGCUCCUCCCACAACAAGCAAUACUCCUGCUGAUACCUUACAGCUUUCGACAAGUUUGCGGCAAUAAAGGAUUUGCAUCUAUUUGGACGUGAUCUUCUUUUUAAAAAAUGGCAUCACAAGACAGACGAGUCAUUGGGCCUUACAUCCCCUGAGGAGAGACAAGCUCUUAAUGAUUUACAAGAUUUACUAUCUGAACAAGAGAUUCCAGCUGAAUAUGAGGCUAAUCUGAAGUCACUGCUGGAUACAGCGGUUUAAUCAUCAGUGAUAUCAAGGAAACUGGCAGAUGUACUCCAGAUAUCACAUCCGACAAUAUCGACUCUCUAUCUAUUGUCAAAGGUUCACAAGCACGCUUCUAGACCACCAGGAAGGCCGAUCAUUUCGGGCACAGGAUUGAUGGCAUUCAAUUGGAACCAGAUACUCUUCUUGUUACAUGUGAUGUGGAAUCGCUGUAUACUAGCAUCAACCAUACGGACGGAUUGUCAGCAUCAAGAUUCUUUUUAGCGUGAUCCAAUGGGAUAUUUGCACUCGGAUGUAUUUCGCAAGAGGACCUCAGUCAAUUCUUAUUUACACGCUACAUCAUCUCAUUCGACACAUACUGUGAGAGCUAUACCAUAUGGCCAGUACCUACGUGCUCGGCGUAAUUGCUCCUCGGAACAAGCCUUCAAGAGACAAGCUGACGACUUAAGAGGACACAAAUGUAAAUAGGAGAUUGCUCUCUAUAUUGAUGUCUACAUACUCAGGACUUUGGACUUGGGACUCAUAGAUGCCAUUUUACCAUGUUAAUUUUCUUUUCUUCUUAUUUUUGGAUAUGGGUCGGUGUCUUAUAAAUUUUGAAUAUUUUGGUUAAUUUACUUUUAUUAGUUUUUAUUUCUAGAAUGUAUGUGCUGGGUACAAUAUAUGGGUUUAUAUACUGUAGUUAGGUGAGCUAUAUGGGGAUUAUGUGCACUAUAUACACAUUUUACCUCACCAGCACUAAUUAGUUUUUCUCACUGCCUCUUCUUCCCCCUCCCUUUUCACUUUUUUCACAUUUGCAUUUUAUUUGUCAUUUU